rnacentral:rRNA from 1 species
AGUUCGAUUCUGGCUCAGAUUGAACGCUGGCGGGAUGCUUUACAUGCAAGUCAGACGGCAGCACGGACUUCGGUCUGGUGGCGAGUGGCGAACGGGUGAGUAAUGUAUCGGAACGUGCCUAGUAGCGGGGAUAACUACGCGAAAGCGUAGCUAACCUGCAUACAACCCUUCGGGGAAAGCGGGGACCUUCGGGCCUCGCACUAUUAGAAGCGGCCGAUAUCGGAUUAGCUAGUUGGUGGGGUAACGGCUCACCAAGGCGACGAUCCGUAGCUGGUUUGAGAGGACGACCAGCCACACUGGGACUGAGACACGGCCCAGACUCCUACGGGGAGGCAGCAGUGGGGAAUUUUGGACAAUGGGGGAAACCCUGAUCCAGCCAUCCCGCGUGUGCGAUGAAGGCCUUCGGGUUGUAAAGCACUUUGGCAGGAAGAAACGGCCUGGGAUAAUACCCCGUGCAACUGACGGUACCUGCAGAAUAAGCACCGGCUAACUACGUGCCAGCAGCCGCGGUAAUACGUAGGGUGCAAGCGUUAAUCGGAAUUACUGGGCGUAAAGCGUGCGCAGGCGGUUCCGGAAGAAAAGAUGUGAAAUCCCAGAGCUUAACUUUGGAACUGCAUUUUUAACUACUACUGAGCUAGAGUGUGUCAGAGGAGGUGGAAUUCGCGUGUAGCAGUGAAAUGCGUGAAUAUGCUAGGAGGAACACCGAUGGCGAAGGCAACCUCCUGGGAUAACACUGACGCUCAUGCACAGCAGCGAUGAGGGUGAAACAGGAUUAGAUACAUUAGUCACGCCUAAACGAUGUCAACUAGCUGUUGGGACCUUCGGAGCGCUUGGUAGCCGCAGCCAACAUAGGAUUAUAGGAAACGAUCCGCAAGAUCAAGAAACUCAAAGGAAUUGACGGGGACCGCACAAGCGGUGGAUGAUGUUGGAUUAAUUCGAGCAACGCAAGAAAACGCCACCCUUGACAUGUCUGGAAUCCCGAAAGAGAUUUGGGGUACCAUAGAAGAAUAGGAACACAGGUGCUACUGGCUGUCGUCAGCUCGUGUGUGGGAUGUUGGGUUAAGUCCCGCGAAAAGGCGCAACCCUUGUCGUGGAAGUUGCUACGAAGGGCACUCUGUCAGACUGCCGGUGACAAACCGGAGGAAGGUAGAGGAUGACGUCAGUCCUCAUGGCCCUUAUGGGUAGGGCCUACACGUCAUACAAUGGUCGGGACAGAGGUCGCCAACCCGCGAGGGGGAGCCAAUCCCAGAAACCCGAUCGUAGUCCCGGAUCACCAGUCUGCAACUCGACUGCGUGAGUCGGGAAUUGCUAGUAAUCGCGGAUCAGCAUGUCACCGGUGCGAAUACGUUCCCGGGUCUUGUACCCGCACCGCCCGUCACACCAUGGGAGUGGGGUUUACCGAAGUAGUUAGCCUAACCGUGCAAGGAGGCGAUUACCACGGUAGGAUUCAUGACUGGGGUGAAGUCGUAACAAGGUAA